GGGCCCGCACAAGCGGUGGAGCAUGUGGUUUAAUUCGAUGAUACGCGAGGAACCUUACCAGGGCUUAAAUGUAGUGGGACAGGUCUAGAGAUAGACCCUUCUUCGGACUCAUUACAAGGUGCUGCAUGGUUGUCGUCAGCUCGUGCCGUGAGGUGUCAGGUUAAGUCCUAUAACGAGCGCAACCCCUAUCGUUAGUUGCCAGCGAGUAAUGUCGGGAACUCUAACGAAACUGCCAGUGCAAACUGUGAGGAAGGUGGGGAUGACGUCAAAUCAUCACGGCCCUUACGUCCUGGGCUACACACGUGCUACAAUGGCCGGUACAGAGAGCAGCCACUUCGCAAGAAGGAGCGAAUCCCAAAAAAGCCGGUCUCAGUUCGGAUUGAGGUCUGCAACUCGACCUCAUG
rnacentral:rRNA from 1 species